UCUAGUGACCGAUAGUGAACCAGUACCGUGAGGGAAAGGUGAAAAGUACCCCGGAAGGGGAGUGAAAGAGAACUUGAAACCGUGUGCUUACAAGUAGUCAGAGCCCGUUAAUGGGUGAUGGCGUGCCUUUUGUAGAAUGAACCGGCGAGUUACGAUCUGAUGCAAGGUUAAGCAGCAAAUGUGGAGCCGCAGCGAAAGCGAGUCUGAAUAGGGCGUUGAGUAUUUGGUCGUAGACCCGAAACCAGGUGAUCUACCCUUGGUCAGGUUGAAGUUCAGGUAACACUGAAUGGAGGACCGAACCGACUUACGUUGAAAAGUGAGCGGAUGAACUGAGGGUAGCGGAGAAAUUCCAAUCGAACUUGGAGAUAGCUGGUUCUCUCCGAAAUAGCUUUAGGGCUAGCCUCAAGUGAUGAUUAUUGGAGGUAGAGCACUGUUUGGACGAGGGGCCCCUCUCGGGUUACCGAAUUCAGACAAACUCCGAAUGCCAAUUAAUUUAACUUGGGAGUCAGAACAUGGGUGAUAAGGUCCGUGUUCGAAAGGGAAACAGCCCAGACCACCAGCUAAGGUCCCAAAAUAUAUGUUAAGUGGAAAAGGAUGUGGCGUUGCCCAGACAACUAGGAUGUUGGCUUAGAAGCAGCCAUCAUUUAAAGAGUGCGUAAUAGCUCACUAGUCGAGUGACACUGCGCCGAAAAUGUACCGGGGCUAAACAUAUUACCGAAGCUGUGGAUUGUCCUUUGGACAAUGGUAGGAGAGCGUUCUAAGGGCGUCGAAGCAUGAUCGCAAGGACAUGUGGAGCGCUUAGAAGUGAGAAUGCCGGUGUGAGUAGCGAAAGACGGGUGAGAAUCCCGUCCACCGANUGACUAAGGUUUCCAGAGGAAGGCUCGUCCGCUCUGGGUUAGUCGGGUCCUAAGCUGAGGCCGACAGGCGUAGGCGAUGGAUAACAGGUUGAUAUUCCUGUACCACCUANNAUCGUUUUAAUCGAUGGGGGGACGCAGUAGGAUAGGCGAAGCGUNCNNUUGGANUGNACGUCNAAGCAGUNAGNNUGAGUGUUAGGCAAAUCCGGCACUCAUAAGGCUGAGCUGUGAUGGGGAGAGGAAAUUGUUUCCUCGAGUCGUUGAUUUCACACUGCCGAGAAAAGCCUCUAGAUAGAUAACAGGUGCCCGUACCGCAAACCGACACAGGUAGUCAAGAUGAGAAUUCUAAGGUGAGCGAGCGAACUCUCGUUAAGGAACUCGGCAAAAUGACCCCGUAACUUCGGGAGAAGGGGUGCUCUUUAGGGUUCACGCCCAGAAGAGCCGCAGUGAAUAGGCCCAAGCGACUGUUUAUCAAAAACACAGGUCUCUGCUAAACCGUAAGGUGAUGUAUAGGGGCUGACGCCUGCCCGGUGCUGGAAGGUUAAGAGGAGUGGUUAGCUUCUGCGAAGCUACGAAUCGAAGCCCCAGUAAACGGCGGCCGUAACUAUAACGGUCCUAAGGUAGCGAAAUUCCUUGUCGGGUAAGUUCCGACCCGCACGAAAGGUGUAACGAUCUGGGCACUG
rnacentral:rRNA from 1 species